AACGAACGCUGGCGGCAGGCUUAACACAUGCAAGUCGAGCGCCCCGCAAGGGGAGCGGCAGACGGGUGAGUAACGCGUGGGAAUCUACCCAUCUCUACGGAAUAACGCAUGGAAACGUGUGCUAAUACCGUAUACGUCCUUCGGGAGAAAGAUUUAUCGGAGAUGGAUGCGCCCGCGUUCGAUUAGCUAGUCGGUGGGGUAAAGGCGUACCAAGGCGACGAUCCAUAGCUUGUCUGAGAGGAUGAUCAGCCACACUGGGACUGGGACACGGCCCAGACGGCAACGGGAGGCAGCAGUGGGGAAUAUUGGACAAUGGGCGCAAGCCUGAUCCAGCCAUGCCGCGGGGGUGAUGAAGGCCCUAGGGUUGUAAAGCUCUUUCACCGGUGAAGAUAAGGACGGUAACCGGAGAAGAAGCCCCGGCUAACUUCGUGCCAGCAGCCGCCGUAAGAC
rnacentral:rRNA from 1 species